rnacentral:tRNA from 1 species
AUUUAAGUAGCUUAUAUUUAGAGCGUGAUAGUGAAGUUAUCAUGGAAAUAGUGAUAUUCUUAAAUA